GCUGGGAGCUGGCUGGCCAUUUUAGGGACCCCUCAGGAGUCAGCCAACUGUUUGCUAAGGCAAAGUAGGCACCGGUUUAUUAGAUCAUGCCUUCUUGUAAAUAAUUAAAUGGGUACUGCCACUGGGAAAUAUUUCUGAGUUUGUAAAUUGUGGAUGCCAUGGAAACAAGUUUUACUCUGUGGCAGUGCUGGGAGAAAGUGUUCUUUACCACCACUACUUAGAAAUGCUCCAGUACCC